CACUCAGCUGUAUUUUAAAAUAGAAUUAAAAUAUCAGGUAGCCAUAGCUGGCGCUAAGUCUGAGGAGGGAAGAAGCUGUUUUAUUCAUUUGGUUGGUAGAUAAUUGUGUUGUUUUCAAGUAGUUUUGUAAAUUCUUUUACCCAAAUAAAGGCAAACGUGAUUGUUUUCAAAUUUUCUCAGAACUAACAAUGAUUAAUGGUCAAUUAUUAUUCUCAACGAAGUAAGUACAAUAAAUAAUCACAUUUUGAACAAUUAGUCCGACAAUCUUAACAAGUAUUAGUUAUUAGUUUUACAAAAAUCAAAUUUUCACUAAAAAGUUUUAAGGGAUUUUCGACCCUUCCGGAUCUUCCAAAGUAGCAAGCUAACGGCUUUAACUUCAUCGGCCAACCAGAAUAAAGAUUACGGAAGCAAAAGAAAGCGUGGACAUUGGGAACAAAUAUAACUCGAGCGUGAAUGACGAUAAUCGUGAAGCGUAUGAAAGGAAAGAUCGAUGUGAGGAAGAAUCUUGUAAUUCUGAUGAUCAUAAUGUGAAAUAACAAAAUUAAAAAUUUUUAAACUCUGAGCCAUUGAGCACAUUCGUAACAGUGUGUUGAGUCGUUGCAAUUUCAUCAUUUUAAGCAAUAUUUCCGUUAGUGUGUGAAGAUUAAUUUUAAAAUUUAUAAUUGAAAAUGUGCCAAAUUUUUACAAUUUGUAUCUUAUGUAUUAAACGAAUUAUUUAUCAAAUAAAUGACUAUUAUCGUCGAUUUUGGUAUUAGAAACA
rnacentral:lncRNA from 1 species